rnacentral:rRNA from 1 species
AUACGGAGGAUGCAAGCGUUAUCAGGAUUUAUUGGGUUUAAAGGGUGCGUAGGCGGUUUGCUAAGCGGGAGGUGAAAUGCCGGCGCUCAACGUCGUCAGUGCCUCCCGAACUGGUGGACUUGCAUGACUCUGCCGUGGGAGGAAUGUGUAGUGUAGCGGUGAAAUGCUUACAGAUGACACAGAACACCGAUUGCGAAGGCAUCUCACGAAGGGUUGAUGCACGCCGAGGCACGAAAGCGUGAGGAUCAAACAGGAUCAGAAACCCUCGUAGCACACGCAGUAAACGAUGAAGGCUACACGCUGGAUCCAGCGGUUCAGUGGCCAAGCGAAAGCGAUAAGGCAUCCCCCUGGGGAGUACGACCGCAAGGCUGAAACUCAAAUGAAUUGAUGGGG